UCUCCUCUGAGAGCCUCGGCUGUCUCUCACUGUCUCAGAUCCAACAGGUCUUCUCAUCAAAGUGGUCGUCCUGCCGCUGACUCUGCUGUUGGUGAUCGCUGCCCUUUGUUUCUACUAUAAGGCCAGCAGGGGGCAGAAGCCGGGCAGGCAGGAGGACAU